rnacentral:rRNA from 1 species
AACGAACGCUGGCGGCGUGCCUAACACAUGCAAGUCGAACGAGAAAGGGGCUUCGGCUCCGAGUAAAGUGGCGCACGGGUGAGUAACACGUGGGUAACCUGCCUCUAAGAUUGGGAUAACUCGUCGAAAGAUGAGCUAAUACCGAAUAAGACCACAGUUCCCGCGGGAACAGGGGUCAAAGGUAGCCCCUGCUUGCAAGCUAUCACUUAGAGAUGGGCCUGCGCACCAUUAGCUAGUUGGUAGGGUAACGGCCUACCAAGGCAAAGAUGGUUAGCUGGUCUGAGAGGAUGAUCAGCCACACUGGAACUGAGACACGGUCCAGACUCCUACGGGAGGCAGCAGUGGGGAAUAUUGCGCAAUGGGCGAAAGCUUGACGCAGCAACGCCGCGUGAGUGAUGAAGGCCUUCGGGUCGUAAAGCUCUGUCGGGAGGAACGAAUGCUCCUGAGGUUAACAGCCUCGGGAGGUGACGGUACCUUCAAAGGAAGCACCGGCUAACUCUGUG